rnacentral:lncRNA from 1 species
GAUUAGUUGCAUGGCUGAUUACCAUCUUACAGGUGACCCAGUAAUUUUCCAUAUGACACUAGCGUGUACCCUUGGGGUGUGUAUAACUUAUUUUUUGGGGAACAUCCUGUCCACGUGUAAUACUUAGCAUAUAUUGCAACAUUUGACAUUAAACAAAUUUUCUUUGUAGCAUCGGAGGCAAUUUCAUGUUCAACCACACAGAAAAUUUCACAAAAAAAAUAUGAUAAAAUCAUAAGAAAAAGAAUAAGAAAUACUAACAAAUAAAUUUGGCAUUAAUAAAACGGGGAUUCGUGUAUUCAAGAGCUUAUUUUCAGUGGAC